rnacentral:tRNA from 1 species
AGGAGUGUAGCUCAGCCUGGUAGAGCAGCGGUCUCCAAAACCGCCGGUCGAGGGUUCGAAUCCUUCCACUCCUGCCA